GCCGGAGUGGCGGAAUGGUAGACGCAGCGGACUCAAAAUCCGCCGGGGGCAACCCCGUGGGAGUUCGAGUCUCCCCUCCGGCA
rnacentral:tRNA from 1 species